GACGUUAAAGGUUAAGACGCGAGGAGUUUAAGAGGAAAGAAAGCUGGCGCUUGCCUUCUUCCAAGGACGAUUCCACGGCCUCGAGCUCUGCGCACUUGUCCUGGUACAGCUUGUUUUCCCGUGCAAACUCUCUCUGGACUGACUCCACUUCGUUUUGCAGCCUGCUUAGCUUCCUAAGAGACAUCACCAGCACGCGACGAAACAAAAACUUAGAGGUCUUUACUCCACCGAGGAGGAAGAAGAAAAGGAAGAGACUUGGGAUCCGAC
rnacentral:lncRNA from 1 species